AACGAACGCUGGAGGCAUGCCUAACACAUGCAAGUCGAACGAGACCUUCGGGUCUAGUGGCGCACGGGUGCGUAACGCGUGGGAACCUGCCCUUAGGUUCGGAAUAACUCCCCGAAAGGGGUGCUAAUACCGGAUAAUGUCUUCGGACCAAAGAUUUAUCGCCUUUGGAUGGGCCCGCGUUGGAUUAGCUAGUUGGUAGGGUAAAAGCCUACCAAGGCGACGAUCCAUAGCUGGUCUGAGAGGAUGAUCAGCCACACUGGGACUGAGACACGGCCCAGACUCCUACGGGAGGCAGCAGUGGGGAAUAUUGGACAAUGGGCGAAAGCCUGAUCCAGCAAUGCCGCGUGAGUGAUGAAGGCCUUAGGGUUGUAAAGCUCUUUUACCCGGGAUGAUAAUGACAGUACCGGGAGAAUAAGCUCCGGCUAACUCCGUG
rnacentral:rRNA from 1 species